GUCCCCGUAGCUCAACGGAUAGAGCAGAGGUUUCCUAAACCUCCGAUGCAGGUUCGAUUCCUGCCAGGGACACCG
rnacentral:tRNA from 2 species